rnacentral:rRNA from 1 species
UACAGAGGGGGCAAGCGUUGUUCGGAAUUACUGGGCGUAGAGGGCGCGUAGGCGGCCUUCUAAGUCGAACGUGAAAUCCCCGGGCUCAACCCGGGAACUGCGUCCGAUACUGGAAGGCUUGAAUCCGGGAGAGGGAUGCGGAAUUCCAGGUGUAGCGGUGAAAUGCGUAGAUAUCGGGAGGAACACCUGUGGCGAAAGCGGCGCACUGGACCACAACUGACGCUGAGGCGCGAAAGCUAGGGGAGCAAACAGG